rnacentral:pre_miRNA from 1 species
UGCAAUCUACGCCACUGGCUUACGUUGUAGUCGAGAAUCGUGUCCAGUCCCGUAAAUUGCAGU